AGAGUUUGAUCAUGGCUCAGGAUGAACGCUAGCGACAGGCCUAACACAUGCAAGUCGAGGGGCAGCGGAGAGGUAGCAAUACCUUUGCCGGCGACCGGCGCACGGGUGAGUAACACGUAUGCAAUCCACCUGUAACAGGGGGAUAACCCGGAGAAAUCCGGGACUAAUACCCCAUAAAUAUGGGCGCUCCGCAUGGAGAGCCCAUUAAAGAGAGCAAUUUUGGUUACAGACGAGCAUGCGCUCCA
rnacentral:rRNA from 1 species